rnacentral:rRNA from 1 species
ACAGAGGUCCCAAGCGUUGUUCGGAUUUACUGGGCGUAAAGGGUGCGUAGGCGGGUCUUUAAGUCAGGGGUGAAAUCCUGGAGCUCAACUCCAGAACUGCCUUUGAUACUGAAGAUCUUGAGUUCGGGAGAGGUGAGUGGAACUGCGAGUGUAGAGGUGAAAUUCGUAGAUAUUCGCAAGAACACCAGUGGCGAAGGCGGCUCACUGGCCCGAUACUGACGCUGAGGCACGAAAGCGUGGGGAGCAAACAGGA